rnacentral:snRNA from 1 species
AUCUCUUCUCGGCCUUUUGGCUAAGAUCAAGUGUAGUAUCUGUUCUUAUCAGUUUAAUAUCUGAUACGUCCUCUAGCCAAGGACAAUAUAUUAAAUGGAUUUUUGGAGCUUGGAGUUGGAAUAGGAGCUUGCUCCGUCUGCUCCACGCAUCGACCUGGUAUUGCAGUACCUCCAGGAACGGUGCACAAAAA